CUUUAAGAAGGAAGGUGUAGCCAAAAUUGCGCAUGGGACUUGUGAGUUAUGCGAAGCAAUUGAUACUAUUAAGGUUCAUUGGUCAUAUGAAGUUUGCACACGCCAAGCUUGACAUCCUAAAGAUCACAAUGCAUUCUGAAAAUGAUACCGUGCAGGUUCGUUGGCGUAUACGUGGUGUCAUACAGGCUGGAAGGUAUUUUCUAUGUUUUGGAAAUAAAAUUUGGAAAAUACAACAUGUCAUAAAAUAAGCGCUAACCAGGAAAUAUGGUACGACGGCUUUUUUAUGUUAAUGCUGAAUAGAAAAGUCUAUAAGCAUAUUGCGGACAAGAUGAUGCCUAAUCAGAAUACAGCCACGAAAAAGAAAGAUAUGCGCAUGGCAGGAAAAUUAACGCUACAUUCACAGGCUUUGUAAGCAUAUUUAGGAACAACGAGGAUUCUUUGAAUUGAGUUCUGUCUUAAAAUCGCAUCAAUUGAAGUGAAUCCACUGCUAAGUGCUGAAAUUAUACGAUUUUAUCCGUCACAACGAAUAGACCAAGAAGAAUGCUUUUUCCAGUCGAUGGUUUCGAAUGUUGCUGACGUAUCUAUUUCGUUGCAAAUGCAUCAUUAUGAAAUGAUGAUCGGUAGUAAAUGAGAGAUAUGUGAAUUAAAAAGAUGUGUACAUUAACUAAACAGUAUCUUUGUAUGAUUACAAACUAUCUUCAUCUAAUUUUUUAGUGACAAUGUCCGAAUAAUUUGCAUUAGUAUUUCUGUG